UACGGCCACAUGACAUUGAAACACCGAUUCCCGUACGAUUAACGAAGUUAAGCAACAUCGAGCCUGGUCAGUAGAUAGAUUGGUGACCAAGCGGGAAUUCCAGGUACAGUA